rnacentral:tRNA from 1 species
UAAGAUCUAAUUAAAUCAUAAUAUUGGCCUGUCAGACCAAAAUUACUCGUUAAACCCUUGUGAUCUUAA